GUAAACUGCUUUUAUACAGGAAGAAACGACUCUUGCGAGAGGCAUUGACGGUACUGUAUGAAUAAGCACCGGCUAACUCCGUGCCAGCAGCCGCGGUAAUACGGAGGGUGCAAGCGUUGUCCGGAUUUAUUGGGUUUAAAGGGUGCGCAGGUGGUUUAUUAAGUCAGUGGUGAAAGACGGUCGCUCAACGAUUGCAGUGCCAUUGAAACUAGUAGACUUGAGUAAAGUAGAGGUGGGCGGAAUUGAUAGUGUAGCGGUGAAAUGCAUAGAUAUUAUCAAGAACUCCAAUUGCGUAGGCAGCUCACUUGGCUUUUACUGACACUCAUGCACGAAAGUGUGGGUAUCAAACAGGAUUAGAUACCCUGGUAGUCCACACUGUAAACGAUGAUAACUAGGUGUCGGCCGAAUCUGGUCGGUGCCACAGCGAAAGCGUUAAGUUAUCCACCUGGGGAGUACGCCGGCAACGGUGAAACUCAAAGGAAUUGACGGGAAA
rnacentral:rRNA from 1 species